rnacentral:rRNA from 1 species
GACGAACGCUGGCGGCGUGCUUAACACAUGCAAGUCGAACGAUGAAGCGGCCAGCUUGCUGGUGGUGGAUUAGUGGCGAACGGGUGAGUAACACGUGAGUAACCUGUCCUUCACUCUGGGAUAAGCCCUGGAAACGGGGUCUAAUACUAGAUAUUCUCAAUGUGCCGCAUGGUGUGUUGUGGAAAGAUUUUUUGGUGAGGGUUGGACUCGCGGCCUAUCAGCUUGUUGGUGGGGUAGUGGCCUACCAAGGCUUUGACGGGUAGCCGGCCUGAGAGGGUGACCGGCCACACUGGGACUGAGACACGGCCCAGACUCCUACGGGAGGCAGCAGUGGGGAAUCUUGCACAAUGGGCGAAAGCCUGACGCAGCAAUGCCGCGUGAGGGAAGAAGGUCUUAGGAUUGUAAACCUCUUUCAGCAGGGACGAAAACAGACGGUACCUGCAGAAGAAGCCCCGGCUAACUACGUGCCAGCAGCCGCCGUAAGAC